rnacentral:rRNA from 1 species
CGCAUCUGUGCAUGCAGCAUAUCAAUAAGCGGAGGAAAAGAAACUAACAAGGAUUCCCCUAGUAACGGCGAGUGAAGCGGGAAGAGCUCAAAUUUGAAAUCUUAAAGGGUUUCCCUUUACGAAUUGUAGUUUAAAGAAGUGUUUUCUGUUGAGGUUUUGGUAAAAGUUCUUUGGAAUAGGACAUCAUAGAGGGUGAGAAUCCCGUAUUUGACCCUUACUUUCAACUUUGUGAUACACUUUCAAAGAGUCGGAUUGUUUGGGAAUGCAGUCCAAAAUGGGUGGUAAAUUUCAUCUAAAGCUAAAUAUUGGCGAGAGACCGAUAGCGAACAAGUACCGUGAGGGAAAGAUGAAAAGAACUUUGAAAAGAGAGUUAAACAGUACGUGAAAUUGUCAAAAGGGAAGCGUUUGACACCAGUGUUGUUUUUCUGAAAAUCAAUUAAAGAACUGUUUAUGCUAAGCUGUUUAGACUUUAUCAGCUAUCUGCUUAGUUUUGAGCUUUUCUUUAAUGCACUUUUCAGUUAACAAGUCAACAUCAAUUUCUUUUGCUGUAAAAAAGCUUGAGGAAGGUGGCUUGAGAUUCGUCUUAAGUGUUUAUAGCCUCUUGCCUAUGCAGUCGGAGAGAUUGAGGUCUGCAGCGUAGAUCCUUCGGGGCUAAAUGCAUUUGUGCUAAGUUAUAACAUUUUAUAGACAACUUGUUGACUAUGAUUUGUCUUGUAGCUUACUCGCUUAUGUUAUUUUACCUACGCUUAGGAUGUUGAGCGCAUGUCUCUCUCU